GCGAACGCUAGCGGCGGGCUUAACACAUGCAAGUCGAGCGCAUGGCUUCGGCCAUGAGCGGCGGACGGGUGAGUAACACGUAGGUCAUCUGCCUUUUGGUGGGGAAUAACCCAAGGAAACUCGGGCUAAUACCGCAUACGGUCCACGGAUCAAAGCCUUCGGGCGCCAGAAGAUGAGCCUGCGUCGCAUUACCUAGUUGGCGGGGUAACGGCCCACCAAGGGGACGAUGCGUAGCUGGUCUGAGAGGAUGAUCAGCCACACUGGGACUGAGACACGGCCCAGACUCCUACGGGAGGCAGCAGUGGGGAAUAUUGCGCAAUGGGGGAAACCCUGACGCAGCCACGCCGCGUGGGUGAUGAAGGCCUUCGGGUUGUAAAGCCCUGUCGGGAGGGACGAAAACUGACGGUACCUCCCAAGAAAGCACCGGCUAACUCCGU
rnacentral:rRNA from 1 species